rnacentral:rRNA from 1 species
UAGCUUGCUAGAUAUGAUUAGUGGCGGACGGGUGAGUAACAUUUAGGAAUCUGCCUAGUAGUGGGGGAUAGCUCGGGGAAACUCGAAUUAAUACCGCAUACGACCUACGGGUGAAAGGGGGCGCAAGCUCUUGCUAUUAGAUGAGCCUAAAUCAGAUUAGCUAGUUGGUGGGGUAAAGGCCCACCAAGGCGACGAUCUGUAACUGGUCUGAGAGGAUGAUCAGUCACACCGGAACUGAGACACGGUCCGGACUCCUACGGGAGGCAGCAGUGGGGAAUAUUGGACAAUGGGGGCAACCCUGAUCCAGCCAUGCCGCGUGUGUGAAGAAGGCCUUUUGGUUGUAAAGCACUUUAAGCAGGGAGGAGAGGCUAAUGGUUAAUACCCAUUAGAUUAGACGUUACCUGCAGAAUAAGCACCGGCUAACUCUGUGCCAGCAGCCGCGGUAAUACAGAGGGUGCGAGCGUUAAUCGGAAUUACUGGGCGUAAAGCGAGUGUAGGUGGCUCAUUAAGUCACAUGUGAAAUCCCCGGGCUUAACCUGGGAACUGCAUGUGAUACUGGUGGUGCUAGAAUAUGUGAGAGGGAAGUAGAAUUCCAGGUGUAGCGGUGAAAUGCGUAGAGAUCUGGAGGAAUACCGAUGGCGAAGGCAGCUUCCUGGCAUAAUAUUGACACUGAGAUUCGAAAGCGUGGGUAGCAAACAGGAUUAGGUACCCUGGUAGUCCACGCCGUAAACGAUGUCUACUAGCCGUUGGGGUCCUUGAGACUUUAGUGGCGCAGUUAACGCGAUAAGUAGACCGCCUGGGGGAGUACGGCCGCAAGGUUAAAACUCAAAUGAAUUGACGGGGGCCCGCACAAGCGGUGGAGGAUGUGGUUUAAUUCGAUGCAACGCGGAAGAACCUUACCUGGUCUU